rnacentral:rRNA from 1 species
UAUAGAGACUGCAAGCGUUAUUCGGAUUCACUGGGCGUAAAGGGCGCGUAGGUGGCGCGGGCAGUCAACGGUGAAAGUUCGGGGCUCAACCCUGAAUCGGCCGUCGAUACUCCCGGGCUUGAGCACUGUAGAGGCAGAUGGAAUUCCGGGUGUAGCGGUGGAAUGCGUAGAGAUCCGGAAGAACACCGGUGGCGAAGGCGGUCUGCUGGGCAGUAGCUGACACUGAGGCGCGACAGCGUGGGGAGCAAACAGG